ACUACGGGAGGCAGCAGUGGGGAAUAUUGGGCAAUGGAGGAAACUCUGACCCAGCAAUGCCGCGUGAAUGAAGAAGGUCUUCGGAUUGUAAAGUUCUUUAGUCAGGGAAGAAUAAAAUGACGGUACCUGAAGAAUAAGCAUCGGCUAACUCCGUGCCAGCAGCCGCGGUAAUACGGAGGAUGCGAGCGUUAUCCGGAUUUAUUGGGUUUAAAGGGUGCGCAGGCGGAAGAUCAAGUCAGCUGUAAAAUUGAGGGGCUCAACCUCUUCGAGCCGUUGAAACUGGUUUUCUUGAUUGAGUGAGAAGUAUGCGGAAUGCGUGGUGUAGCGGUGAAAUGCAUAGAUAUCACGCAGAACUCCGAUUGCGAAGGCAGCAUACCGGCGCUCAACUGACGCUCAUGCACGAAAGUGUGGGUAUCGAACAGGAUUAGAUACCCUUGUAGUC
rnacentral:rRNA from 1 species